rnacentral:rRNA from 1 species
GUGCCAGCAGCCGCGGUAAUACGGAGGAUCCAAGCGUUGUCCGGAUUUAUUGGGUUUAAAGGGUGCGUAGGCGGACUUAUAAGUCAGAGGUGAAAGCCGGUAGCUUAACUAUCGAAUUGCCUUUGAAACUGCAAGUCUUGAAUUUUGUUGAGGUAGGCGGAAUGUAUCAUGUAGCGGUGAAAUGCAUAGAUAUGAUACAGAACACCGAUUGCGAAGGCAGCUUACUAAGCAAAUAUUGACGCUGAGGCACGAAAGCGUGGGGAUCAAACAGGAUUAGAUACCCGCGUAGUCC